rnacentral:rRNA from 1 species
AACGAACGCUGGCGGCGUGGAUAAGACAUGCAAGUCGAACGGGAUUUUUUUCUGUAGCAAUACAGGAAAAAGUCUAGUGGCGAACGGGUGCGUAACACGUGAGCAACCUGCCGUGAAGUGGGGGAUAGCUCGCCGAAAGGCGAAUUAAUACCGCAUGUGGCCAAGGAAGACAUCUUCCUGACGCCAAAGCCGGGGCAACCUGGCGCUUCUCGAGGGGCUCGCGGCCUAUCAGCUUGUUGGUGAGGUAACGGCUCACCAAGGCUAUGACGGGUAGCUGGUCUGAGAGGACGACCAGCCACACUGGAACUGAGACACGGUCCAGACACCUACGGGUGGCAGCAGUCGAGAAUUUUUCACAAUGGGGGAAACCCUGAUGGAGCGACGCCGCGUGGAGGAUGAAGGUUUUCGGAUUGUAAACUCCUGUCAUUAGAGAACAAGGCACACGGUUUAACUGACCGUGUGUUGAUAGUAUCUGAAGAGGAAGAGACGGCUAACUCCGUGCCAGCCGCCGCUGUAA